GACGAACGCUGGCGGCGUGCUUAACACAUGCAAGUCGAGCGGAGCGGCGAACGGGUGAGUAACGCGUUAGUACCUGCCCCCCUCCCUGGGAUAACAGUUGGAAACGGCUGCUAAUACCGGAUAGUGUGGGAUGACUCGCGUCCUAUCAGCUUGUUGGUUGGGUAGUGGCCUACCAAGGCGACGACGGGUAGCCGGCCUGGGAGGGGGACCGGCCACAUUGGGCUGAGAUACGGCCCAAACGCCUACGGGAGGCAGCAGUGGGGAAUAUUGCGCAAUGGGGGAAACCCUGAGGCAGCAACGCGCGGGCGGGAUGACGGCCUUGGGGUUGGAAACCGCUUUCAGCCAUGACGCGGUAGUGGCAGAAGAAGCACCGGCUAACUACGUGCCAGCAGCCGCGGUAAUAC
rnacentral:rRNA from 1 species